UACAGAGGUCUCAAGCGUUGUUCGGAUUCAUUGGGCGUAAAGGGUGCGUAGGCGGCGCGGUAAGUCGGGUGUGAAAUCUCGGAGCUUAACUCCGAAACUGCAUUCGAUACUGCCGUGCUUGAGGACUGGAGAGGAGACUGGAAUUUACGGUGUAGCGGUGAGAUGCGUAGAUAUCAUAAGGAAGACCAGUGGCGAAGGCGGGUCUCUGGACAGUUCCUGACGCUGAGGCACGAAGGUCAGGGGAGCAAACGGG
rnacentral:rRNA from 1 species